CCCUCCUACCCAAGCUCCUCUCUCUCUCCCCCUCCCCUCGAGCUGGUGCUUUCUCUACACACACCCAACCCCUCUACUCGGCCCUUUCUCUUUCUUCCCUCCUCGGUCUUCUCUCUCUUCUCCCCCCUCUACUGCUGGCUCUCCCUUUCUUUACCCCUCUCCUACCCGAGCCUCUCUCUCUUCCCCUCCCCUCACUUCCAGUUGGCCCCCACUAUCCAAUCCUUUCUCUCUCCUCUCUUUACGAAUCUUGCAUGCCACGUGGCGUGCUCUCAUUCCAGCUCUCCUAUUUGGCUUUUCGUCUCUCGAAGAGUCACUUUCUCUCUUACUAUUUGCCUCUUCACUUACUCAAGAGUCCCUCUCCAGAAGUAUCUCUCAUCUCUCUCUCUCUAACUUCCUCCCUCUACCUUUCCCUAAUCUCUCUCUCUUCUCUACGCCACACCGCCACCCCCCCAAAAAAAAGCAUCUCUCUUUGCUCUCUCUACCUAUGCCCUUUCUCUAUCUCUCUCUUCUGGUGGCUUGAGUGGUGACACGGCAAUCACGGCGGCUGCUGCUUGGGCGGCAACAGUGGCGUUCACAAUGACAAAAGUGGCUUGGGCGGCCUAGCGGCAGACACGGCAGCUUAGGCGGCGACAUUGGUGGACACGACAAAAGGAAGAAAUCUCGCUUUCACUUCGUUGAUAGUUUAGUCUACAUAUUUUUUACAUAAAAAAAGAUAUUAAAAUUUAUUAACAUUUAUAGGAAAUUCGUUGUAUUUCCCCCUCUUUUUAAGGGGAUUCGAAGCCGGAUUCGCUGGCGGCGGCUUGGGCAAUGACACCGGCAGUUAUGCCGGUGGUCACGACGUAACGGUGGCGCUGGUGUCUGACACAGAGAUGAUGGCUUGGGCCACGACAGCAAAACAAGAAAUCUUUCUUUGGCUUUCUCUGGCUCUCUAUUUGUUGAUAGUUUUGUCUAUAUUUUUUUUUACACAAAAGAAGAUAUUAAAAUUUAUUGACACUUAUAAUAAAUUCAUUGUAUUAUGGAUCUUUUGUCUUUUCAAUUUAAAAAAUAAAAAUUAAAAAUUUUGGGUGUUGCAAUCAAUAACUUCUCUGGAAUCAAAGGAGUAACCUAGCAUAGCAGGCAUUGGAGUACCUUGGUAUUAAACUCCAUUCUGAAUAUUAUUUAUUAGGUAGUAGAUUUGGAAUUUAUGUACUAUCUAAAUGCAAGUAACUACUCUGAAGUUUGUUGUGACUACUUUGAAGUAUUUCUCAACAAGUCUAACAUAAAAAUUAUAUAUAUUUUUUAAAACAAAUAUUUAAAAUAUAGGUGUUGCAAGAUUAAUAUUCUCAGAUAAUGCUCAGAGCUCCUAGAUUGUGGAUAUGACAUGACAAUCGGCGAAGUGUAUGGGUUAGACUUCACUACUUGGGAUAGGUGGUGUCAGCUGCUGUCACGACAGCGGCGGCUUAGGUCGUGAUGAAGGUAGUGAUGACAGCAAUGACAGCUAAAAUAUUUUAAAAAACUUACUAAAUUCAAAAAAAAUAUACUAUUAGGUGAUGAAAAUCUUUCUUUUCUUUUUUAUUUUUUAUAAAUUUUGUAGAGUAAAACAUUAAUUUUUCUCUGCGAUAAUAUUGUUUAAUAUUGGAGCUGCUUCUUCUUCUUCUUUUAUUUUUUUUCUCUUUAUCUGGAACUUUUUUUUGUGACUUUAAUCGAAUAGUUUUAAUUUUUUUCAUAAUUGCUAAUGUAACUUUUGGGGUAAAAUAAUCAACUUAGAGAUAGUGUAUUCCUUGCGAUCGUACUUAAACAUGUAUAAGUGAAAUUGGUGAAAUUGGUUGGACUUUUUUUUUGUAAAAAUUAAAUUUUUAUCAUCUUUUUA